CGGUGGGUGCCCGCCGCCCGCUCCCCCUCGACAAAUCCAAUAUAUGUCCAAGUAGCCACAUCAUAUGGCGACCUCUACCACCACUUGCUCUGUAUCUAUCGAUUUAUAAAUAUGGAGUGUCUAGCUGGGACUUGUGCAGUGAAUUCAGGUUUCAGGUGCCCACAGGUCCUGUACGAAUAGGGCUCAUCAGAAUCAUCACCCACCUACUUUGUAAGUAAUACACGUAAUUAGUGUGUUCAUUUUUAAAUCAAUAUGCCUUUACUUUUCCUUGAGGAUGUUGACUCUUUGGACCAUAGCAAAUCAAGCAGUCCUUUUCCAUGCCUAUACUCCCCAGAUUCUUCUUAGCAAAAGGUGAACUUAGAAAACACGAAGGUGCAGGAAAAUAAAAGUACAACUCAGGUCAAUAUGACAAAGGUCUGCCGUCAUCGAUAUAUAAGAAAUUAUGUGGGGAACGCCUCAAAAGUAACAAAAUACUAAAUGAUAAAGAUACACCAUGCAAUAAUUAAAUUUGUUCGACGUGCAUGGCAACAGUUGAAAAGUCUGAUGCUACUUGUAUGGUCUCCAGAACCUACCGACACAUGCAGUAUUCUGUCUAUAUUUAUUUAUAACAAAUAAAGAUAAAAGAUCACACCAAAACUCAUGUAUACAAAAAGUCGAGCUGCAUGCAUGUACAG